rnacentral:lncRNA from 1 species
GGCCGAGCACAUGGGCCCGCGGGCCGGGCGGGCUCGGGGCGGCCGGGACGAGGAGGGGCGACGACGAGCUGCGAGCAAAGAUGUGCCCCGGGACCCCCGGCACCUUCCAGUGGAUUUCCUUGCGGAAAGGAUGUUGGCGGUCCCUGUGACCUGUGGAGACACGGCCAGAUCUGCCCUCCAGAUUUAUUAGGAGAAAAACCUUCCCGGAAGCUGCAGAAGGACAAAUACAGAAUCCGUGUCUGGGAGAAACCUCGUGGCCUGGUCUCCAUUAUUUGAGAUGAGUUACAUCUUGGAGGUGAGGACGUGCCUCGUGGUCUAAAGCUUCGGCACAAGGGCCCAACUGGAAUUCCACUUACGGGCCUGAUCUUUUGGCCAGAAGGAGAUUAAAAAGAUGCCCCUCAAGAUGGCUGUGCCUGUCAGCUGCAUGGAGCUUCGUUCAAGUAUUUUCUGAGCCUGAUGGAUUUACAGUGAUCUUCAGUGGUCUGGGGAAUAACGCUGGUGGAACCAUGCACUGGAAUGACACACGCCCGGCACAUUUCAGGAUACUAAAAGUGGUUUUAAGGGAGGCUGUGGCUGAAUGCCUCAUGGAUUCUUACAGCUUGGAUGUCCAUGGGGGACGAAGGACUGCAGCUGGCUGAGAGGGUUGAGAUCUCUGUUUACUUAGAUCUCUGCCAACUUCCUUUGGGUCUCCCUAUGGAAUGUAAGACCCCGACUCUUCCUGGUGAAGCAUCUGAUGCACGUUCCAUCCGGCGCUCAGCUGGGCUUGAGCUGACCAUACUCCCUGGAGCCUUCUCCCGAGGUGCGCGGGUGACCUUGGCACAUACAGCCAUCAUGAUGGUACUUUAAGUGGAGGCUGAAUCAUCUCCCCUUUGAGCUGCUUGGCACGUGGCUCCCUUGGUGUUCCCCUUUUACUGCCAGGACACUGAGAUUUGGAGAGAAUCCUGUUACACCUGGGAUUUAGGCACUUUCAAUCUGAAAAAAUACAUAUCCUUUCAGCACUCUGGACGGACUUGAGAACUGUCCUUACGUGACCUAAAGCUGGAGUAUUUUGAGAUUGGAGAAUUAAGAAGGACAGAAUAACGGGCUCCCAGAUUCACAAGCCCCACCAAGAGGAUCACCCCAGGAACGCUUGGAGGCUGAGGAGUUCACUGAGGCUACUGCAUCUUGAGACUCAGGAUGAAGACCCAGCUUGGGGCUGUCAAAGGUUUUUUGCAUGUCUGACACCCAUGACUCCACCUGGACCUUAUGGCUCCACCCAGAAGCAAUUCAGCCCAACAGGAGGACAGCUUCAACCCAUUACGAUUUCAUCUCUGCCCCAACCACUCAGCAGCAAGCACCUGUUACCUGUCCACCCCCACCCCUUCCCCCAAACUGCCUUUGAAAAAUCCCUAACCUAUGAGCUUUGAAUAAGAUGAGUACGAACUUCAUCGCCCACGUGGCGUGGCCGGCCUCGUGUCUAUUAAAUUCUUUUUCUACUACAA